rnacentral:rRNA from 1 species
GUGUCAGCCGCCGCGGUAAUACGUAGGGGGCAAGCGUUAUCCGGAUUUACUGGGUGUAAAGGGAGCGUAGGUGGCAUGGUAAGUCAGAAGUGAAAGCCCAGGGCUCAACCCUGGGACUGCUUUUGAAACUAUCAGGCUAGAGUGCAGGAGAGGUAAGUGGAAUUCCUAGUGUAGCGGUGAAAUGCGUAGAUAUUAGGAGGAACACCAGUGGCGAAGGCGGCUUACUGGACUGUAACUGACACUGAGGCUCGAAAGCGUGGGGAGCAAACAGGAUUAGAUACCCCCGUAGUCC